rnacentral:rRNA from 1 species
ACGGGUGAGUAAUACAUCGGAACGUGCCCAAUCGUGGGGGAUAACGCAGCGAAAGCUGUGCUAAUACCGCAUACGAUCUACGGAUGAAAGCAGGGGAUCGCAAGACCUUGCGCGAAUGGAGCGGCCGAUGGCAGAUUAGGUAGUUGGUGAGGUAAAGGCUCACCAAGCCUUCGAUCUGUAGCUGGUCUGAGAGGACGACCAGCCACACUGGGACUGAGACACGGCCCAGACUCCUACGGGAGGCAGCAGUGGGGAAUUUUGGACAAUGGGCGAAAGCCUGAUCCAGCCAUGCCGCGUGCAGGAUGAAGGCCUUCGGGUUGUAAACUGCUUUUGUACGGAACGAAACGGUCUUUUCUAAUACAGAAGGCUAAUGACGGUACCGUAAGAAUAAGCACCGGCUAACUACGUGCCAGCAGCCGCGGUAAUACGUAGGGUGCAAGCGUUAAUCGGAAUUACUGGGCGUAAAGCGUGCGCAGGCGGUUAUGUAAGACAGUUGUGAAAUCCCCGGGCUCAACCUGGGAACUGCAUCUGUGACUGCAUAGCUAGAGUACGGUAGAGGGGGAUGGAAUUCCGCGUGUAGCAG